rnacentral:rRNA from 1 species
UACGAAGGGGGCGAGCGUUGUUCGGAUUUACUGGGCGUAAAGGGCGCGCAGGCGGCGCAUUUUGUCAGGCGUGAAAGCCCCGGGCUUAACCUGGGAACUGCGUUUGAUACGGAUGGGCUAGAGUUCGGGAGAGGAGAGUGGAAUUCCCAGUGUAGAGGUGAAAUUCGUAGAUAUUGGGAAGAACACCGGUGGCGAAGGCGGCUCUCUGGACCGAGACUGACGCUGAGGCGCGAAAGCCAGGGGAGCGAACGGG